rnacentral:rRNA from 1 species
UACGUAGGGGGCUAGCGUUGUCCGGAAUCAUUGGGCGUAAAGAGCGUGUAGGCGGUCCGGUAAGUCCGCUGUGAAAGUCGGGGGCUCAACCCUCGAAUGCCGGUGGAUACUGUCGGGCUAGAGUGCGGAAGAGGCGAGUGGAAUUCCUGGUGUAGCGGUGAAAUGCGCAGAUAUCAGGAGGAACACCAACGGCGAAGGCAGCUCGCUGGGACGGUACUGACGCUGAGACGCGAAAGCGUGGGGAGCGAACAGG